GACGAACGCUGGCGGCGUGCUUAACACAUGCAAGUCGAACGAUGAUCCUGGGUGCUUGCACCUGGGGGAUUAGUGGCGAACGGGUGAGUAACACGUGAGCAAUCUGCCCCGGACUCUGGGAUAAGCGCUGGAAACGGCGUCUAAUACUGGAUAUGACGCGCGAAGGCAUCUUCUGCGUGUGGAAAGUUUUUCGGUCGGGAUGAGCUCGCGGCCUANCAGCUUGUUGGUGAGGUAAUGGCUCACCAAGGCGACGACGGGUAGCCGGCCUGAGAGGGUGA
rnacentral:rRNA from 1 species